CUCAGGACGAACGCUGGCGGCGUGCCUAAUACAUGCAAGUCGAACGAACUCUGGUAUUGAUUGGUGCUUGCAUCAUGAUUUACAUUUGAGUGAGUGGCGAACUGGUGAGUAACACGUGGGAAACCUGCCCAGAAGCGGGGGAUAACACCUGGAAACAGAUGCUAAUACCGCAUAACAACUUGGACCGCAUGGUCCAAGUUUGAAAGAUGGCUUCGGCUAUCACUUUUGGAUGGUCCCGCGGCGUAUUAGCUAGAUGGUGGGGUAACGGCUCACCAUGGCAAUGAUACGUAGCCGACCUGAGAGGGUAAUCGGCCACAUUGGGACUGAGACACGGCCCAAACUCCUACGGGAGGCAGCAGUAGGGAAUCUUCCACAAUGGACGAAAGUCUGAUGGAGCAACGCCGCGUGAGUGAAGAAGGGUUUCGGCUCGUAAAACUCUGUUGUUAAAGAAGAACAUAUCUGAGAGUAACUGUUCAGGUAUUGACGGUAUUUAACCAGAAAGCCACGGCUAACUACGUGCCAGCAGCCGCGGUAAUACGUAGGUGGCAAGCGUUGUCCGGAUUUAUUGGGCGUAAAGCGAGCGCAGGCGGUUUUUUAAGUCUGAUGUGAAAGCCUUCGGCUCAACCGAAGAAGUGCAUCGGAAACUGGGAAACUUGAGUGCAGAAGAGGACAGUGGAACUCCAUGUGUAGCGGUGAAAUGCGUAGAUAUAUGGAAGAACACCAGUGGCGAAGGCGGCUGUCUGGUCUGUAACUGACGCUGAGGCUCGAAAGUAUGGGUAGCAAACAGGAUUAGAUACCCUGGUAGUCCAUACCGUAAACGAUGAAUGCUAAGUGUUGGAGGGUUUCCGCCCUUCAGUGCUGCAGCUAACGCAUUAAGCAUUCCGCCUGGGGAGUACGGCCGCAAGGCUGAAACUCAAAGGAAUUGACGGGGGCCCGCACAAGCGGUGGAGCAUGUGGUUUAAUUCGAAGCUACGCGAAGAACCUUACCAGGUCUUGACAUACUAUGCAAAUCUAAGAGAUUAGACGUUCCCUUCGGGGACAUGGAUACAGGUGGUGCAUGGUU
rnacentral:rRNA from 1 species